ACCGGCUAACUCCGUGCCAGCAGCCGCGGUAAUACGGAGGGUGCGAGCGUUAAUCGGAAUUACUGGGCGUAAAGCGCAUGCAGGCGGUCCUGUUAAGUCAGAUGUGAAAAGCCCGGGGCUUAACCUCGGAAUUGCAUUUGAAACUGGCAGGCUAGAGUCUUGUAGAGGGGGUAGAAUUUCAGGUGUAGCGGUGAAAUGCGUAGAGAUCUGAAGGAAUACCAGUGGCGAAGGCGGCCCCCUGGACAAAGACUUGACGCUCAGAUGCGAAAGCGUGGGGAGCAAACAGGAUUAGAUACCCCUGUAG
rnacentral:rRNA from 1 species